rnacentral:rRNA from 1 species
ACGUAUGGUGCAAGCGUUAUCCGGAUUUACUGGGUGUAAAGGGAGCGCAGGCGGUGCGGCAAGUCUGAUGUGAAAGCCUGGGGCUCAACCCCGGUACUGCAUUGGAAACUGUCGUACUAGAGUGUCGGAGGGGUAAGCGGAAUUCCUAGUGUAGCGGUGAAAUGCGUAGAUAUUAGGAGGAACACCAGUGGCGAAGGCGGCUUACUGGACGAUAACUGACGCUGAGGCUCGAAAGCGUGGGGAGCAAACAG